rnacentral:rRNA from 1 species
ACCGGCGGCUCGAGUGGUAACCGUUAUUAUUGGGUCUAAAGGGUCUGUAGCCGGCCUGAUAAGUCUCUUGAGAAAUCUGGCAGCUUAACUGUCAGGCUUUCAGGAGAUACUGUCAGACUUGAGGCCGGGAGAGGUGAGAGGUACUUCCGGGGUAGGGGUGAAAUCCUGUAAUCCUUGAAGGACCACCAGUGGCGAAGGCGGCUCACCAGAACGAACCUGACGGUAAGUGACGAAAGCCAGGGGCACGAACCG